rnacentral:rRNA from 1 species
AGCGAACGCUGGCGGCAGGCUUAACACAUGCAAGUCGAGCGCCGUAGCAAUACGGAGCGGCAGACGGGUGAGUAACACGUGGGAACGUGCCUUUUGGUUCGGAAUAACUCAGGGAAACUUGAGCUAAUACCGGAUAAGCCCUUCGGGGGAAAGAUUUAUCGCCGAAAGAUCGGCCCGCGUAAGAUUAGCUUGUUGGUGAGGUAACGGCUCACCAAGGCUACGAUCUUUAGCUGGUCUGAGAGGAUGAUCAGCCACAUUGGGACUGAGACACGGCCCAAACUCCUACGGGAGGCAGCAGUGGGGAAUAUUGGACAAUGGGCGCAAGCCUGAUCCAGCCAUGCCGCGUGAGUGAUGAAGGCCUUAGGGUCGUAAAGCUCUUUUAGCAGGGACGAUAAUGACGGUACCUGCAGAAAAAGCCCCGGCCAACUUCGUGCCAGCAGCCGCCGUAACAC